AAUAAGUGCAGUCAUGAGUUUUCGCGUUCAACUUUGAUCGUCCAUCUUAUUUAAAUUUUUUUCAUAAUUAGCAUUUUUUUGUUAUAAGAUGAUAAAACAUGAAUAGUACUUUACUCGUGACUUAUGUUUUUAAUUUUUUUCAAAAAAUUUUCAAAUAAGAUGAAUGGUUAAAGUUGAACGCGGAAAACCAUGGCUGCACUUAUU
rfam:Oryza glaberrima chromosome 8 Oglab08_0007_39, whole genome shotgun sequence.